rnacentral:rRNA from 1 species
UCCCAGACUCCUACGGGAGGCAGCAGUGGGGAAUAUUGCACAAUGGGGGAAACCCUGAUGCAGCGACGCCGCGUGAGCGAUGAAGUCUUUCGGUAUGUAAAGCUCUAUCAGCAGGGAAGAAGAUGACGGUACCUGACUAAGAAGCCCCGGCUAACUACGUGCCAGCAGCCGCGGUAAUACGUAGGGGGCAAGCGUUAUCCGGAUUUACUGGGUGUAAAGGGAGCGUAGACGGCGAUGCAAGCCAGAUGUGAAAGCCCGGGGCUCAACCCCGGGACUGCAUUUGGAACUGUGUGGCUGGAGUGUCGGAGGGGCAGGCGGAAUUCCUGGUGUAGCGGUGAAAUGCGUAGAUAUCAGGAGGAACACCGGUGGCGAAGGCGGCCUGCUGGACUGCGACUGACGUUGAGGCCCGAAAGCGUGGGGAGCAAACAGGAUUAGAUACCCCAGUA